GACGAACGCUGGCGGCGUGCUUAACACAUGCAAGUCGAACGGAAAGGCCCUGCUUGCAGUGUACUCGAGUGGCGAACGGGUGAGUAACACGUGGGUGAUCUGCCCUGCACUUCGGGAUAAGCCUGGGAAACUGGGUCUAAUACCGGAUAGGAGCCAUUUUUAGUGUGAUGGUUGGAAAGUUUUUUCGGUGUAGGAUGAGCUCGCGGCCUAUCAGCUUGUUGGUGGGGUAAUGGCCUACCAAGGCGGCGACGGGUAGCCGGCCUGAGAGGGUGGACGGCCACAUUGGGACUGAGAUACGGCCCAGACUCCUACGGGAGGCAGCAGUGGGGAAUAUUGCACAAUGGGCGCAAGCCUGAUGCAGCGACGCCGCGUGGGGGAUGACGGCCUUCGGGUUGUAAACUCCUUUCGCUAGGGACGAAGCUUUUGUGACGGUACCUAGAUAAGAAGCACCGGCUAACUACGUG
rnacentral:rRNA from 1 species